rnacentral:rRNA from 1 species
AGCGAACGCUGGCGGCAGGCCUAAUACAUGCAAGUCGAACGGUCUCUUCGGAGGCAGUGGCGGACGGGUGAGUAACGCGUGGGAAUAUGCCCUUUGGUACGGAACAACUGAGGGAAACUUCAGCUAAUACCGUAUGUGCCCUUCGGGGGAAAGAUUUAUCGCCAUUGGAGUAGCCCGCGUUGGAUUAGGUAGUUGGUGGGGUAAAGGCCUGCCAAGCCUACGAUCCAUAGCUGGUCUGAGAGGAUGAUCAGCCACACUGGGACUGAGACACGGCCCAGACUCCUACGGGAGGCAGCAGUAGGGAAUCUUGCGCAAUGGGCGAAAGCCUGACGCAGCCAUGCCGCGUGAAUGAUGAAGGUCUUAGGAUUGUAAAAUUCUUUCACCGGGGACGAUAAUGACGGUACCCGGAGAAGAAGCCCCGGCUAACUUCGUG